rnacentral:rRNA from 1 species
AGAGUUUGAUCAUGGCUCAGGACGAACGCUGGCGGCGUGCUUAACACAUGCAAGUCGAGCGGAAAGGCCACUUCGGUGGUACUCGAGCGGCGAACGGGUGAGUAACACGUGAGUAAUCUGCCCCUGGCUUUGGGAUAGCCACCGGAAACGGUGAUUAAUACCGGAUAUGACCGCUCCUCGCAUGAGGUGGUGGUGGAAAGUUUUUCGGCCAGGGAUGUGCUCGCGGCCUAUCAGCUUGAUGGUGAGGUAAUGGCUCACCAUGGCUUCGACGGGUAGCCGGCCUGAGAGGGUGACCGGUCACACUGGGACUGAGACACGGCCCAGACUCCUACGGGAGGCAGCAGUGGGGAAUAUUGGACAAUGGGCGGAAGCCUGAUCCAGCAACGCCGCGUGAGGGAUGACGGCCUUCGGGUUGUAAACCUCUUUCGCCUAUGACGAAGCGCAAGUGACGGUAAUAGGUAAAGAAGCACCGGCCAACUACGUGCCAGCCGCCGCGGUAAUAC